ACUUUUAUAAUUUAUUUGUAGAAUACUGCACUGAAGAUGCAGAAGAGAUUAUUAUUAUCUGAAAGUA
rnacentral:tRNA from 1 species